rnacentral:rRNA from 1 species
GAUGAACGCUGGCGGCGUGCCUAAUACAUGCAAGUCGAGCGAACGGACGAGAAGCUUGCUUCUCUGAUGUUAGCGGCGGACGGGUGAGUAACACGUGGAUAACCUACCUAUAAGACUGGGAUAACUUCGGGAAACCGUAGCUAAUACCGGAUAAUAUUUUGAACCGCAUGGUUCAAAAGUGAAAGACGGUCUUGCUGUCACUUAUAGAUGGAUCCGCGCUGCAUUAGCUAGUUGGUAAGGUAACGGCCUACCAAGGCGACGAGGAAUAGCCGACCUGAGAGGAGGAUCGGCAACAGGGAACGAAGGCACGGAAGCGACUCCGGCAGGGGGGCACAGGACGGACUCUUCCGGGAAGGAGGAAAAGCGAAAGGAGCAAAGGCGGGGGAAGUGUGAAGGUCUUAGGAACCGUAAAAGUUGGUAAUGGGGAAAAAGCAAAGGGAAAGUAAACGGGACAAUUCUGACGGUACCUUAAAAAGAAACCCCGGCUAACUACGUG